UGUCCAUCCUGGCUAAUAGGUGGCAGGAUCUUUCAUAAUUAUAUGAUAGUGAGGUGGAAAUAUUGUUGCCAGGCACUUUCCCUGUUCAGAACUCCCUGAAAUAUGCUGCCAUGGAGACGUUCCUGAGCACUUUACCUUCAAGAACAGGAAUGUGUUUUUCAAGAUAUGUAAAUGUCUUGUAAUUCUUCUAUGAAGAAAUACCAGAAUGUGACUUUGAAGUGGAAGUAUGAAUUUUGACAUCCACCCUCUAUUGCAAGUUUCCUGGGUGUUUAAGCAUUUUGUUAUAAUGGCAGUCUGUUCACUGUGCUUUCCUUAUAUUGCGGCAUAUGGAAGUCACACUUUUAUGUGCUAGAAUGGAUCCUAAAACCCCUGUGAUUUAAAACUGAUUCACUGACUAGGAUUUCAAGAUACUUGUUUGAGAC